CAUCGAGGACGACUUCGACGCCGACAUCACCGAGGACGACCUCG
rfam:Corynebacterium freneyi DNF00450 contig25, whole genome shotgun sequence.